rnacentral:tRNA from 1 species
GGGGGCGUAGCUCAGUCGGUAGAGCAGCGGCCUUUUAAGCCGGUGGUCGCAGGUUCGAGCCCUGCCGCCCUCACCA